rnacentral:rRNA from 1 species
CAUGUAGGCGGUCUGCUAAGUUCGGAGUGACAGUCACCAGCUUAACUGGUGAAGUGUUUCGAAAACUGGCUGACUUGAGAACGAGAGAGGGACAUGGAAUUCCGGGUGGAGCAGUGAAAUGCGUAGAGAUCCGGAGGAACACCAAAGGCGAAGGCGGUGUCCUGGCUCGUUUCUGACGCUGAGGUGCGAAAGCCAGGGGAGCGAACGGGAUUAGAUACCCCGGUAGUCCUGGCCGUAAACGAUGGCCACCAGGCGUGGGAGGGAUCGACCCUUCCGUGCCGUAGUCAACACAUUAAGUGGUCCGCCUGGGGAGUACGGUCGCAAGACUAAA